GACCAAGACCCUGGGAUCAUGACCUGAGCCGAAGGCAGACCCCUAACCAUCUGAGCCACCCAGGCGCCCCGCAAAAAUGAUUUUUUAAGAUUUGAUCAAGAUAAAAAAAGCAGGCACAAAUAAUAUUAGGAAUUAGAAAUGGGAUACAAUUAAAGAUACAAAAGUGUGGCUGACACGGCUAGCUCUCUAACCAGUAUCAUUUUUCUCCUUUUUACUAACAAGGUAUCUGUAGGGUCAGCAAUGUGUUCAGUUUGUGGGAAUAAAAAUACAUUUCCCAGGGGCGCCUGGGUGGCUCAGUUGGUUAAGCGGCUGCCUUCAGCUCAGGUCAUGAGACUCAGGUCCUAGAAUCGAGUCCAGUCCUGCCUUGGGCUCCCUGCCCAAGGGGUGUCUGCUUCUCCCUCUGCCCCUCCCCCUGGCUUGUGCUCUCUCUCACUCUCUCUUAAAUAAAUAAAUAAAAUCUUUUUUUUCUUUUAAAAAGUACAUUUCUCAGUGUCCCUAGCCAGUGAGAAUGGCCAAUGAGAAGCAAGUAAAAGUCUUUGGGAGAACCCCCAGAAAAGCUGAGUCAACCUCAUUCUUUCCUCCUUCCUACUCCCUGGAAUAUGGAUGUGGUGGCUGGAGCUGCAGGUACCUCCUUGAGACCAAGAAAGAAAAGUCAAAGAAUUGCAGGGACCUUAACUUGGACAAUUGAGGCUCUAAACCAGGGGUCAGCUAAGUAUCCUUAUGAAUUAGUGGGUUUAAAUAUAUCUGAUGUGUGUCUAUCCAUCGCAGUUUUUAUCUUUACUGAUUUUUAAAUUGUCUUAUCUCAGUCCAAUAGGAGCUUCUUCAAGUAGACCCCUGAGAGUUUGACUCAACUCUUUUUUUUUUUUAAGAUUUUAUUUAUUUAUUUGACAGAGAGAGACACAGCGAGAGAGGGAACACAAGCAGCGGGAGUGGGAGAGGGAGAAGCAGGCUUCCUACGGCGGAGCAGGGAGCCCGAUGCCGGGCUCAAUUCCAGGACCCUGGGAUCGUGACCUGAGCUGAAGGCAGACGCUUAACGACUGAGCCACCCAGGCGCCCCUCCAAUGGACCGUCCCCAGGGCCCCACCCCGACUGGGCACUGCUGGCCUUCAGCGCCUACUUUAACUCUUGCCACAAGGAAACGGUUUGGGGGUUUGGUUUGGACCGACUUCUCUUCUUGAAGCCCUGCAAACUGAAGCUAGACAACUUGAAGUAAACUUCAAAAAUCACCACACUGGCCCAUGUUUGUCUGUUGCUGUAUGGGCCACUCAGAAAGAUCACCAGAACAAGUUUAUUCCAGCCAUCCUGAUUUGGUGGAUCUGCCAUUGGAAAUUCCAGACCUUAAGAUAAUCACGGAUGGGAGCAGUUUUAUGGAUCAAGGACAACAAAGAGCUGGAUGCAAUGGUGACCCAUCAGCUAUUGUCCAAUGCUGAGGACACCCCAAAUUGUUUGAUUGCUCAAGGGAAUAAUCAGGCAGACCAAGCCACUAAGCUGGUAACCCUUACAAAGACCAUAAAACUCUUUAUAAUAUAAUGGCUUCGGUACUAGAUGUAGACUUAAUUAAAUACCAGCCCCAAUAUUCCUGGAAGAGCCUCAGAAGAACUAAAGAAUAGGGAUUUGGAUACCCUGCUGGCACUAAAGCCAGCUGGAAAUAUAAUGAAUCUUUAUCCUGGAACAUCUUAUGGAAGAAAUGGUUGGUUAGCCAUAUUCACCAAAGCAUCCAUUGUGGGUGAGAUACUAUUCUUCAAUGGAUCCAGAAGUAUUUGGUGGGGCCCAAUCUUCAGAUAACUUUUCAAAAAUAAGACCUUUGUUGUAGUAGUAGUAGUAGUAGUAGUAGUAGUAGUAGUAGUAGUAGUAGUAGUAGUAGUAUAUUUGGGCUAAAAAUAAUCCUAAGACUGGGACCCCAUCAGUUCUAAAAGGUCUGUAACUUAGAGACCCUGAACUUGGAGAAGACUCUCAGGGAUACUAGACCAUAAUGCCAAAAGCAGGUUGUUUUGUUUUUGUUUUUAAGUAAUUUCUAUGCCUGACAUGGGGUUGAACUAAUGACCUUGCAAUCAAGACCUGAGCCAAGAUCGAGAGACAGUGCUUAAUCAAAUGAGCCACCCAGGUGCCCGUGUGUGUGUGUGUGUGUGUGUGCGCGCGCUAAGAGAUCCUAACCCAUGAAUAUUUUAUGUUUUUUACCAUUGUCUUUAUAUACAUAGUUUCCAUUACCUUGAAAGUAUAUAAUUAAAAUUGAGACUUGGGGAAAUCAGAACAAAAUUCAUGAAUGCCUAUACUUAAAUAUGCAAUAUAUGUAUGGAAUAUUUGAGUUUUUGAAAUGCAUGUACUCUCCCAAUAUUCCAUACGUGACAAGAACUUUGGGUGUAUCCUCUUCCUGCUGGAGUUGGCUCCCCAGUGUGUGCCAAUCUAAUCAUACCCUCCAUGGCCUGCCAUCAAUAUGCCUGAACAAUCUGGGUAUGAAGUAAAAUCAUUUUCUAAAUCUUUUUUUUUUUUUUUAAGAUUUUAUUUAUUUGACAGAGACACAGCGAGAGAGGGAACACAAACAGGGGGAGUGGGAGAGGGAGAAGCAGGCUUCCUGAGGAGCAGGGAGCCCAAUGCGGGGCUCGAUCCCAGGACCCUGGGAUCAUGACCUGAGCCGAAGGCAGACGCUUAACGACUGAGACUCCCAGGCGCCCCAUCAUUUUGUAAAUCUUUUAGCGUCUGCCAGAAAUGUGGAAGUGUAUAGCAAAUACUAAACUUGGCCAAAUUCCUAUAAGGACUUUAAUCAGGGUUAGCUCAGAAGGAUGGUAUUGGGUAAUCAAAUUAAACAAUAAGCUCUCUGUUCUAUGAAAAGGCAAAUACUCCUACAACUACCUACAACCCCAAUAGUAUCCAACAAACAUGAAAUUUAACUCUUGAUGAAAUAAUACUCCUGGCUGCUUUAAAGGUUAGUAGGAGCUUUUCUUUCUUUGAAAAUACUGAGGUGGACUAGUCAAACUAGCAUGGUUAAUUUAAUUCCCAUUGACCCUUCAAGACACAGCUCAGAUGUUACCUUAAACCUUCCUUAAAUCUUUCUACCACCAGAAGAAAAUAGUCCUCAAGAAGUUACUUUGCAAUACCUAUACCCUAGGAAUUAUGUUGUUUAUGCAUGUCACUGCCCAUUACUGGCCUGGGUGCCCUUAUUCUAAAUCGUCGUAUGCUCAGUGUCUAAUAUAGUGCUCAGAAUGUAGUAGGUGCUCAAAUGUUUAAUUGAUGAAUGAAAAUUUUCUAUUGCCACCAAGUUUAUCCUGGGGUGAUCUUGGUCCUGUGGCUGGCUGAGGUCUUCUCAGUGUAGCUGGGGGCUGUUGCUACCAGGAAACUCUCUAAGAGGUUGCACAAAGGAAUAUCACCUUGGGGAAUUGAGGGUUUGGCUUUCAUCUGUACAGGUUCAGAAAAAUGAUUACUUUUAUCUAUUCAGAGGCUCUUCAUAAUAAGUAUUUGGAGCUUUCUGAGUGUUAUAUUCUGUGAGGCAGUGGUAAUACAAGAGUUUAAUGGAGACUGUCCUUGCCCUCACUUCAUUUACCACCUGGUUGAGGGAAAGAGUCAAUUCAACAAACCUUUACACUGAAGAGUGGGACUGGCUGGGGAUGAGAAGUACAAAAUGCUAGGGAUGGAUAACAUGGUACACCUAAGAUACUCUGGGCACCAGAGGGGCUUCCUGGAGGGACCCUCAGGAUAUGUUCUCUCCAGAACAGCCCUUGGGCCUGAUUUACAAAGUCAAAAUGUCCCUUUAUUAACAAUAAGCAAUGGAAGUAGUUCACUGGAUGGAAAGGUACACAUAUCUACAUUCUCUCUCUCUAGUCAGAUUCACAUUAGGAGCCAGAUUAUAAUGGUAAGAUUGUUUGGUAAGAAAACAAUUUUCCCUGCUCAAAGGCAUUAGGAUGAUGGGGCCUCCAUCCCUACACUAGGAAUUAGGCUUGUGAAUAGGGCCAUUAUUUUUGAAGUUCUCUUUUUUGGAACAAAAUUCUCUCUCCCCCAGACAUUGCAUGGAUGGCUUUGUCAGCCAGGUUUCCCUGACUCUCCCUUUUCUAGGUUUCUGCUCUUCUAAUAGAAACACUGCUUCUUUAGAUUUGUCAAUACCUUUGAACAUAUUAUAAGGUAUGGUUGGGGAAGAAAAAUUUUCCUCUAUCCUUCAACAUUCUUCUAGCUAGUCUGAGAAUCAAAUUGACAAAGGACAGAUUAACGGGAGAAAAUAAAAUUUAAUUAUGUAUAUAUGAGGGAUCCACACAGACAUGAGAGUCCAAAGACAGGCAAAAUGAAGUAUAAAGGACCUCCUGAACUAAGAAGAGGGUAGGGGUCUGGGACUUCAAAGGGAAGGAAAGCGACUUUCAUGAAGAUGAAAAAGUAAAUGUUUGCUGGGCCACUCAAACAACGAGACACAAAGAGGAAUUUGAUCAAACAGGCUUGCUGGGUUCCUUCUUGUCUACCAUACCUAGUUCAUAGUCUAAUAUAGUUAUUUAUGGUGCUAGCUCUCAGAGCAGGUCCUCCAUAUUCGUUUAGGUAGUUAGGGGGAAGUUCCAGGUUUCUUCCUGAGUGUUCAUGGGCAUUGGUUAUUUUCAGCUUGAAAUAAUCUGCAUACUAACGUGGCACAUUUUGGAGGAGCCUGCCCUUGGCCCUUACAGUUUGAUGAGGUCUGUAAUUUACUGUCAGCAAGAAGUGUAGUAGUAGUAGCAGCCUGUGUGUGUGUGUGUGUCGCAUUAAAUUAAGGGCUGGCAAUGACUCUACUCGGGACUUUACACACCAAGGGUGGUCAGCUAUAUUAAUCAAGGAGUCCAUAUUCCAUAUUACAGCUACAAAUGGUUCUGUCAGCCAUAGCUCAAUCAAACCAGCAGCUUUGCUAAGUAGCAGAAUGAAGGUUAGAAAUUGGUUUUCAUUGGUGGAAUUAGCAGUUUGUUAGCUAGUAUGACAGGUGAGAGAAAUGGGCUCGAAUUGGUAAAAUCAAUGAUACUCAAGACAUGCGUUGUUUAGAAUAUGUGAGACUUCUCACCCUUGGAUCGACAGGGCAUAAGAACCUAGCAAGCUGGAAGCCUGUUCCCUUAGGGAUAAUACUAUAGGCUAAAACUCUAAAUGGCUCUGUGUCCAGCUAUGAACUCUGAGAGUUCCAGCUCCCCAAUAAUGGUUAUGAGGCCAACAGAAUCCUCUCUCUGUGAUUGUGGUGAGUCUACUUUGAGUGCCUUGCAUUUCCUGCAAAAUGAUUGUCAGAGCACGUGAAACAACAGAGAGCUGGGACAUCACUGAACUUAAUAUUCAUAAAAACUGUUUUGUGCCUCAGAUACAUGGCUGCUUAAUAAACAUCUGAAUAAAUGGGCCCAUAUUCAGGUUAUUUGCAGAGCCCUUAGGGAGCCUGGGGAGAAUACUCCCUACCCAACGAGGAGGAACUGUUUAUCUUGGGACCUUCACCUUCUUGGCAGGCACAGCUCUUAACAGAUGACAAUUCCUUGAGCAAAUGUGAGAAUAAUUAAUGAAGACAGAACAUGGGGUGCCUUUUCAAGACUCACGAAAUAAAAAAAAAUGAUAGCCCUCGCAAACCUAAAAUAUAACCCUAACAAUGGAUCCCAGCAGAGAUAAGCAAAGUGCUUUAUAGAGCUUUGGACUAAGUCUUGACAGAGACCUCUCUGAAGACAUUUACGACAAAAAUCUAAACAAAGAAUGGGUAUAUAAAAAAAAUCAGGUUAGUCUGACCCAAGGAAAAAGAGAAUGAUCCAAGACCUAGAGGACAAGGCAGAAGCUAUUCUUUCUCUGACCAGUGUUGGAAGCUGUGCAUCACUUCUGUUAUGCUAUAUUCCUUAGAAGCCAACCACUAAGGCUGACCCAUACCCUAGAGGAGGGGAAUCAUACUCCACCUUUUGGAGGAAGGAGCAUCAGCGAACUUGUGGACAGAUUUUAAAACCACCAUUGCCUACAUUAAAGAUGUUAUAGGACCUCUAAAAUUCAUAUUUCUCUCAGGAGCAGUAAUAGCUAUGUUUCUCUUGAGCAACCACUUUAUUAUUUUACAGUAUUGUGAAUCACUCUGUAAAUUGUGUUUUCCUCUUUUCUCAGCUGUCAAGAAGCACAAAAUAAAAAUUUGGUUCACCUCCAGCUUGUGUACAAGACCUCAAGGCAUGUGUUUUAUGGAUUCAGCUCACCCAUGACUUCAUCUUAUUUUUCCCAUCCUUCUUUCAUAUUCACUUUCUCCUCAUUCCUGCCCAUAUAUACAUAGGAAUGAAUGAAUAGCAUGAUAUAGAUCUUUCACCCUACAUACACACAUAUACCCAAAUCCCUUUGGAAAUAAGACCAUGUAUAAAUAAAAUAAAUACAAUUAUUUUUCAUCUUUUAA